UAGUGGUUAGAGUGUAGAGGCGGCAGGGUAGCCUAGUGGUUAGAGUGUAGAGGCGGCAGGUAGCCUAGUGGUUAGAGUGUAGAGGCGGCAGGUAGCCUAGUGGUUAGAGUGUAGAGGCGGCAGGUAGCCUAGUGGUUAGAGUGUAGAGGCGGCAGGGUAGCCUAGUGGUUAGAGGGUAGAGGCGGCAGGGUAGCCUAGUGGUUAGAGGGUAGAGGCGGCAGGGUAGCCUAGUGGUUAGAGGGUAGAGGCGGCAGGGUAGCCUAGUGGUUAGAGGGUAGAGGCGGCAGGGUAGCCUAGUGGUUAGAGGGUAGAGGCGGCAGGGUUGCCUAGUGGUUAGAG